GCCUGCUGGGGCAGCGGAGCCGCCUGGUGCGCCUGCUGGGCGGGCGGGACCGGCGGGGUCGGCGCGGCCUGUUCCGGCUGGGCCGUGGGCU
rnacentral:tRNA from 2 species